rnacentral:rRNA from 1 species
GGGUUGUGAGGUUAAGCGACUAAGCGUACACGGUGGAUGCCCUGGCAGUCAGAGGCGAUGAAGGACGUGCUAAUCUGCGAAAAGCGUCGGUAAGGUGAUAUGAACCGUUAUAACCGGCGAUGUCCGAAUGGGGAAACCCAGUGCAAUUCGUUGCACUAUCGUUAACUGAAUACAUAGGUUAACGAGGCGAACCGGGGGAACUGAAACAUCUAAGUACCCCGAGGAAAAGAAAUCAACCGAGAUUCCCCCAGUAGCGGCGAGCGAACGGGGAGCAGCCCAGAGUCUGAAUCAGCUUGUGUGUUAGUGGAACGGUCUGGAAAGUCCGACGGUACAGGGUGAUAGUCCCGUACACCAAAAUGCACAGGCUGUGAACUCGAAGAGUAGGGCGGGACACGUGGUAUCCUGUCUGAAUAUGGGGGGACCAUCCUCCAAGGCUAAAUACUCCUGACUGACCGAUAGUGAACCAGUACCGUGAGGGAAAGGCGAAAAGAACCCCGGCGAGGGGAGUGAAAAAGAACCUGAAACCGUGUACGUACAAGCAGUGGGAGCACCUUCGGGUGUGACUGCGUACCUUUUGUAUAAUGGGUCAGCGACUUAUAUUCUGUAGCAAGGUUAACCGUAUAGGGGAGCCGCAGGGAAACCGAGUCUUAACUGGGCGUUAAGUUGCAGGGUAUAGACCCGAAACCCGGUGAUCUAGCCAUGGGCAGGUUGAAGGUUGGGUAACACUAACUGGAGGACCGAACCGACUAAUGUUGAAAAAUUAGCGGAUGACUUGUGGCUGGGGGUGAAAGGCCAAUCAAACCGGGAGAUAGCUGGUUCUCCCCGAAAGCUAUUUAGGUAGCGCCUCGUGAACUCAUCUUCGGGGGUAGAGCACUGUUUCGGCUAGGGGGUCAUCCCGACUUACCAACCCGAUGCAAACUACGAAUACCGAAGAAUGUUAUCACGGGAGACACACGGCGGGUGCUAACGUCCGUCGUGAAGAGGGAAACAACCCAGACCGCCAGCUAAGGUCCCAAAGUCAUGGUUAAGUGGGAAACGAUGUGGGAAGGCACAGACAGCCAGGAUGUUGGCUUAGAAGCAGCCAUCAUUUAAAGAAAGCGUAAUAGCUCACUGGUCGAGUCGGCCUGCGCGGAAGAUGUAACGGGGCUAAACCAUGCACCGAAGCUGCGGCAGCGACACUAUGUGUUGUUGGGUAGGGGAGCGUUCUGUAAGCCUGCGAAGGUGUGCUGUGAGGCAUGCUGGAGGUAUCAGAAGUGCGAAUGCUGACAUAAGUAACGAUAAAGCGGGUGAAAAGCCCGCUCGCCGGAAGACCAAGGGUUCCUGUCCAACGUUAAUCGGGGCAGGGUGAGUCGACCCCUAAGGCGAGGCCGAAAGGCGUAGUCGAUGGGAAACAGGUUAAUAUUCCUGUACUUGGUGUUACUGCGAAGGGGGGACGGAGAAGGCUAUGUUAGCCGGGCGACGGUUGUCCCGGUUUAAGCAUGUAGGCUGGUUAUCCAGGCAAAUCCGGAUAAUCAAGGCUGAGGUGUGAUGACGAGGCACUACGGUGCUGAAGUAACAAAUGCCCUGCUUCCAGGAAAAGCCUCUAAGCAUCAGGUAACAUCAAAUCGUACCCCAAACCGACACAGGUGGUCAGGUAGAGAAUACCAAGGCGCUUGAGAGAACUCGGGUGAAGGAACUAGGCAAAAUGGUGCCGUAACUUCGGGAGAAGGCACGCUGGUGUGUAGGUGAAG